rnacentral:rRNA from 1 species
UGGGGAAUAUUGGACAAUGGGGGGAACCCUGAUCCAGCCAUGCCGCGUGUGUGAAGAAGGCCUUAUGGUUGUAAAGCACUUUAAGCGAGGAGGAGGGUACUGGUAUUAAUACUACCAGCUACUGGACGUUACUCGCAGAAUAAGCACCGGCUAACUCUGUGCCAGCAGCCGCGGUAAUACAGAGGGUGCGAGCGUUAAUCGGAUUUACUGGGCGUAAAGCGUGCGUAGGCGGCUAAUUGAGUCGGAUGUGAAAUCCCCGAGCUUAACUUGGGAAGUGCAUUCGAUACUGGUUAGCUAGAGUGUGGGAGAGGAUGGUAGAAUUCCAAGUGUAGCGGUGAAAUGCGUAGAGAUCUGGAGGAAUACCGAUGGCGAAGGCAGCCAUCUGGCCUAACACUGACGCUGAGGUACGAAAGCAUGGGGAGCAAACAGG